UACGUAGGGUGCGAGCGUUAAUCGGAAUUACUGGGCGUAAAGGGCUCGUAGGUGGCCAACUAAGUCAGACGUGAAAUCCCCAGGCUCAACUUGGGAACUGCGUCUGAUACUGGAUGGCUUGAAUUCGGGAGAGGGAUGCAGAAUUCCAGGUGUAGCGGUGAAAUGCGUAGAUAUCUGGAGGAAUACCGGUGGCGAAGGCGGCAUCCUGGACCGAUAUUGACACUGAGGAGCGAAAGCCAGGGGAGCAAACGGG
rnacentral:rRNA from 1 species